CCAGACUCCUACGGGAGGCAGCAGUGGGGAAUAUUGCACAAUGGGGGAAACCCUGAUGCAGCGACGCCGCGUGAAGGAUGAAGUAUUUCGGUAUGUAAACUUCUAUCAGCAGGGAAGAAAAUGACGGUACCUGACCAAGAAGCCCCGGCUAACUACGUGCCAGCAGCCGCGGUAAUACGUAGGGGGCAAGCGUUAUCCGGAUUUACUGGGUGUAAAGGGAGCGUAGACGGCCAUGCAAGUCUGAUGUGAAAACCCGGGGCUCAACCCCGGGACUGCAUUGGAAACUGUGCGGCUAGAGUACUGGAGGGGCAGGCGGAAUUCCUAGUGUAGCGGUGAAAUGCGUAGAUAUUAGGAGGAACACCAGUGGCGAAGGCGGCCUGCUGGACAGUAACUGACGUUGAGGCUCGAAAGCGUGGGGAGCAAACAGGAUUAGAUACCCCUGUAUA
rnacentral:rRNA from 1 species